UACAGAGGGUGCAAGCGUUAAUCGGAUUUACUGGGCGUAAAGCGUGCGCAGGCGGUUUUGUAAGUCUGUCGUGAAAGCCCCGGGCUCAACCUGGGAAUUGCGAUGGAGACUGCAAGGCUUGAAUCUGGCAGAGGGGGGUAGAAUUCCACGUGUAGCAGUGAAAUGCGUAGAGAUGUGGAGGAACACCGAUGGCGAAGGCAGCCCCCUGGGUCAAGAUUGACGCUCAUGCACGAAAGCGUGGGGAGCAAACAGG
rnacentral:rRNA from 1 species